rnacentral:rRNA from 1 species
UACGGAGGGUGCAAGCGUUAUCCGGAUUCACUGGGUUUAAAGGGUGCGUAGGCGGGCAGGUAAGUCAGUGGUGAAAUCUCCGGGCUUAACCCGGAAACUGCCAUUGAUACUAUUGGUCUUGAAUGUUGUUGAGGUGGGCGGAACGGGUCAUGUAGCGGUGAAAUGCAUAGAUAUGACCCGGAACACCGAUUGCGAAGGCAGCCCGCUAAGCAACUAUUGACGCUGAGGCACGAAAGCGUGGGGAUCAAACAGG